rnacentral:lncRNA from 1 species
UGCCCCUCUAUAUACACUGCUGUGGAGUUUCGUAUCGGACUGGCUGUGUUCUGGCAAUGUGGAUCCUCUGAACACUGCUGUGGAGUUUCGUCUCGGACAGGCUGUGUUCUUGUAACGUCGAUCGUAUAUAUACACUGCUGUGGAGCUUCGUCUCGGACAGGCUGUGUGUUUUUGUAACGUGACUCCGGUAUAUUAACUGCUGUGGAGCUUCGUUUCGGACAAGCUGUGUUCUUGUAACGUUGCCCCUUUAUAUACACUGCUGUGGAGCUUCGUUUCGGACAGGCUGUGUUCUUGUAACGUUGCCCCUCUAUAUAUACUGCACACUGCUGUGGAGUUCCGUCUCGGACUUGUAACGUGGCAUCGAUCCUAUAUACUCAAUGCUGUGGAGCUUCGUUUCGGACAACUCGGCGAUAUAUGACCAUUUUGUGUUGAUUCGCCGUAAAACCCAACUCACUCACUCGCUCGUUUAGGACAGGCUGUGUUCAUUGAGCGUGGCUAUUCCCUGUUCUUAUUGGUUUAGUUUUAAUUAAACAUAUUUUGUGAAUUAGAGAACUUAUCAGUUCACAUAUCAAAUUAUAUCAACUGAUAACAAGUCAACAAUAAAUAUCAUAUAAUGAAAGAUAAAUACCUUUAAAUAUAAAUUAUGACUCAAUUGACUGCAUCGGAUGUUAAAGCUGAAACAAGUCUUGUAACUGUUAAAAAGGAAAGACGAAGGGAUUUGUGGUAAACGAAAAUAGUAGCCACUGAAUUGGGACUUAUGAAACACAGUCGUUGUUAUAAGAUACGGUGAUGCCGAGAAAAGGUUACCAAGCAUAGCGGCCCGACUGGACAGGAAUAAAUUGGAGAGCUUGCUAUUGGUCAAGAAUAUUCUAACAACAAUUGGAGACAAUCUUGUGAAAUCCUUGAAGCCAUCCGCACAGACAGACAAACAGCUUUCAUCAUAUCUUGGACGAGCAGAACAUGCUACUGGAAAUGCAAUGCUUUUGUGUGUAAACGAUACACCUGAGUUCCGUUUCGAGAAGUCUGAACAAAAAUAUCUGUAUUCCUCCAGUGAUAUAAUGUCAGCUGCAGUUAUUAUACAACAUUACUUGGCAGAUGUUACAAAUGAAUAAGUGAACUUAAUGUGAGGUCGAUAUUACCACUUGUCGGCCUGGGAAAAUUGGUAUUGAAAGAGGGCUAGUUUAGACCAAAGGAUAUGACAAUGUACAUUUAUAAUAAUAUACAAUUCUAGACUUUACAGCUCUGGAGUAUGAUGUGAACGGAAUCAGAAUAAAAUAAUAUUGACAGAGACGACGGUCCAUAUUUAUGUUUUUCCGACGCUUAUCAUAUAGUAUUUCAUAACUGAAAAGUUCAAAAGCUGUUUUAUCACAUGAGAUAUUAAUACAAGAAUCCUUGAGAACUUGCUAUGCUGGGAAAAACAAUGACAAAUAUCUAUUAGGAAAUAUCACGUGCCAAGAACGCAGACCCUCAAAUCCAAACCCUACAGCAAAGUAUAUACGGAUAUUUAUUAUCUGUAUAAUAUACAGAGACAAAGUGAAACAUAAAGACAACGACGACACAAAUUCUACUGUGUAAUUUAACAUUUAACUUAAUUGCAAGACACAAGUCGCAACAGUAAAUAUUCAACCAAAAGAACUGAGAAUUAUGUAAAUGAUACAUGUAAUUAGAAGUUUUUGUGUUGUGGUAAUUAUAUUAUAUUAUCAUUAUGUUAUAACGACUGCAAGUAGGAAUUUCUAGAAACUAUUUUUGACACUAAAAAGUUAUUCACUGAAAAAGAGGACAUCGUUCCCAGGUAUUUUGAGAUAUGGGAUUACCGUUUUCAUAUAUGUGUUUUGUUAUGAUUUUUGCUGGGUAUAAAGUCACAUCGCCACAAUAUGUAGGUAAUAUGGUGACUCUUACCAGCUUUUGGCAGCGACGGAAGACCAUAGAUUCCCAACCGAUUGUUUAAGGCAUUAAAAACCACCCAUCUUCCGAAAUCUGGACUUCGUCCUGACAUGACGAGUUCUUCACCCCAAACGAAUACAGACCCCAUAUCUGUGAGUAGCAAGUGAUUCGAGGUCAACGAUCACAACCAUUCAGCCACUCCAAAUCACUUGCCUCUCACCGAAAGGUGUUGAAUAAUUCUUCAUGUGAGAAGCCAUUCUACUCAGGCGCCCGCCUGUGAUCAAAUAAUGCACGGAGGGGCAACUUGGGCUUUCCUCCACCAUCAAAGCUGGUAAACUGCCAUAUGACCUAUAAUUGUGCCGUUGCGCAAAAGCAACACAAAAAUGGAGGCCCCCUCUUGCAAUAUUUACGAGUAUAAAUAGAUUAUACACAAUUCUUAAACAGUUUUAUCCAUUUAUCUUAUAUUUGAAGGAUCUUUUUAUCACUUUAUUCAGGAUGCUUUUUUUUUAAUUUUGUUUUACUUUUAUUUUCAAAUUACGGGUAUUUCGUUUUAUGCUGCUCAAUGUUUCUCCACAUAUUAAAAUGUUUCUCCACGAGUUUACAUUUAUGCUGCGUACUUCAUGUAAUAUUAUUCGCAUCGUUCAUGUCAAUGUUCUAAUCAGACAUUGAUAUUUACUUUAAAAUUUAUUUUGUUACGGUCAGAGUAUAAUUAUGUUUAAGCAGUUUUAAACAUGUAACUGUCGUAAUAUUUAUAAAUUUCUUUACGAACAGUG